GCCCAAGAGAUCGGGAUAACACCUGGAAACAGAUGCUAAUACCGGAUAACAACAGAUGAUGCCUAUCAACUGUUUAAAAGAUGGUUNUGCUAUCACUCUUGGAUGGACCUGCGGUGCAUUAGCUAGUUGGUAGGGUAACGGCCUACCAAGGCGAUGAUGCAUAGCCGAGUUGAGAGACUGAUCGGCCACAUUGGGACUGAGACACGGCCCAAACUCCUACGGGAGGCAGCAGCA
rnacentral:rRNA from 1 species